AACGUAGGGGACAAGCGUUAUCCGGAUUUACUGGGCGUAAAGCGCAUGUAGGUGGCCUUUCAAGUUGGACGUGAAAGCUCCCGGCUUAACUGGGAGAGGUCGUUCAAAACUGGGAGGCUUGAGGAUGGAACAGGAGAGCGGAAUUCCCGGUGUAGUGGUGGAAUGCGUAGAUAUCGGGAGGAACACCAGUGGCGAAAGCGGCUCUCUGGUCCAUAACUGACACUGAGAUGCGAAAGCGUGGGGAGCGAACGGG
rnacentral:rRNA from 1 species